UUUGUUAAUUAAACAAAUAAAUUAAAUAAAAGCUGCUUCUAACAAAUGCCAUUUCUGAUCCAUUUUUACUUUUUUUACAGGGGUUAAGAAACAUACAGAGUAAAGUAUUUUUCUAUAUUAAUCCAAUAUUUUAAAUAUUCUACCCCACCAUAUUUUGUGGGGGAUAUGUUCUUACAUCUACAUUUGUAUAUGUAAUAUUUGAAUAACAACAAAAUAUUAUUAACUGUUUUACUGUUAACAAAAUCCUCAGACACACCUAAAAUGACUUCUUUUGCACUGAAUGGCAGGAGAAUGCCAUAAGUUUUAAUCCAAUCUAUAACGGAUAGCCAGAAGUUUUGUGAUACAUUACAUUCCCAAAAAAUGUGAAAAAUAUUUUCUUUAAUUUCUGAACAAAA
rnacentral:lncRNA from 1 species